GUCCACGCCGUAAACGAUGUCUACUAGUUGUCGGUUGUCUUGUACGACGGGUAACGCAGCUAACGCGAUAAGUAGACCGCCUGGGGAGUACGGCCGCAAGGUUAAAACUCAAAUGAAUUGACGGGGGCCCGCACAAGCGGUGGAGCAUGUGGUUUAAUUCGAAGCAACGCGAAGAACCUUACCUGGCCUUGACAUCCUGCGAACUUUCUAGAGAUAGAUGGGUGCCUUCGGGAACGCAGAGACAGGUGCUGCAUGGCU
rnacentral:rRNA from 1 species